UACGGAGGGGGCUAGCGUUGUUCGGAAUUACUGGGCGUAAAGCGUACGUAGGCGGCUUUGUAAGUUAGAGGUGAAAGCCCGGGGCUCAACUCCGGAAUUGCCUUUAAGACUGCAUCGCUUGAAUCAUGGAGAGGUGAGUGGAAUUCCGAGUGUAGAGGUGAAAUUCGUAGAUAUUCGGAAGAACACCAGUGGCGAAGGCGACUCACUGGACAUGUAUUGACGCUGAGGUACGGAAAGCGAUGGGGAGCAAAGCAGG
rnacentral:rRNA from 1 species